UGGGGAAUAUUGCACAAUGGAGGGAACUCUGAUGCAGCGACGCCGCGUGAGUGAUGAAGGAAUUCGUUUCGUAAAACUCUGUUCUAUGGGAAGAAAAGGACUGUACCAUAGGAGAAAGCUCCGGAUAAAUACGUGCCAGCAGCCGCGGUAAUACGUAUGGAGCGAGCGUUGUCCGGAAUUAUUGGGCGUAAAGGGUGCGCAGGCGGCUUUACAAGUUGGAUGUGAAAUAUUGUGGCUCAACCACAAACGUGCAUCCAAAACUGCAAAGCUUGAGUUAAGGAGAGGUAAGUGGAAUUCCUGGUGUAGCGGUGGAAUGCGUAGAUAUCAGGAGGAAUACCGGUGGCGAAGGCGACUUACUGGACUUAAACUGACGCUCAGGCACGAAAGCGUGGGGAGCAAACAGG
rnacentral:rRNA from 1 species